CUAUGGGAGGCAGCAGUGAGGAAUAUUGCGCAAUGGAGGAAACUCUGAUGCAGCAACGCCGCGUGGAGGAUGACGCAUUUCGGUGUGUAAACUCCUUUUAUAUGUCAAGAAAAUGACGGUAGCAUAUGAAUAAGCACCGGCUAACUCCGUGCCAGCAGCCGCGGUAAUACGGAGGGUGCAAGCGUUACUCGGAAUCACUGGGCGUAAAGGACGCGUAGGCGGGAUAUCAAGUCAGGUGUGAAAUCCUACAGCUUAACUGCAGAACUGCACUUGAAACUGGUAACCUAGAGUAUGGGAGGGGGGGGAGGAAUUAGUGGUGUAGGGGUAAAAUCCGUAAAUAUCAAUAGGAAUACCUAAAGCGAAGGCGAUCUCCUGGAACAUAAAUGACGCUAAGGCGUGAAAGCGUGGGGAGCAAACAGGAUUAGAUACCCUUGUAGUC
rnacentral:rRNA from 1 species